rnacentral:rRNA from 1 species
GACGAACGCUGGCGGCGUGCUUAACACAUGCAAGUCGAGCGAGAAGACGUAGCAAUACGUUCGUAAAGCGGCGAACGGGUGAGGAAUACAUGGGUAACCUACCCUCGAGUGGGGAAUAACUAGCCGAAAGGUUAGCUAAUACCGCGUACGCUUCUUGGACUUCGGUUCAGGGAGGAAAGCGAUGCCGAGGGUAUCGCGCUCUUGGAUGGGCUCAUGUCCUAUCAGCUUGUUGGUGAGGUAACGGCUCACCAAGGCUUCGACGGGUAGCUGGUCUGAGAGGACGAUCAGCCACACUGGCACUGCGACACGGGCCAGACUCCUACGGGAGGCAGCAGUAAGGAAUAUUGCGCAA